rnacentral:lncRNA from 1 species
CUGGUAGAAACGCUGUUUUAUUCCUUUCCCCCUUAGAUCACAGCACAGAACACACCAGUCCCUCACCACAGCAGCACGCUUGCCUAUUUAAAAGGAAACACAAUAGCUCGGUUUAUUUUACAACAGUCAAGGUCUGGCUGCUUCUACACAACCACGGGGUUUUCUUUGUUUAGUGUUAACACCAACGGAACGCCACAGACACCACGGGCACUCCAACACCGACACCGGGACACGCACACAGCGACGCAUUGGGCUGCAGGGCACGGGGGGCUGCGCCCGGGGACAGAUGGAGCAGUGACAGCCAGGAGGGAGGGACACAGUACACAGGACCCCCCUCACAGCCCCCAGGUUUUAGAGAGCUUUGUUCCCACGCCAGCACAGCCACAAGUUCCCAAUGAGGCUCGGCACGGGCUUGGAGAAGCCACCAGGAGCAGCGGGCUCCUGCACAUGGGGGGUGACCUCAGCCCACGGUGCCAGUGGGCGUGCAGAGCUCUGAGCAUCGCUCCCUGCUGCUACUGAGUCCUGGGGCUGUGAGCAUGAGGGGUGACAACACACAGCCACUGGGGGACACAGACACAGGGUGGGCACCGGGAGGAAAUAUCCCUACCUCUUCCCACUGGAGGUGACCAGGACAGGGGCUGAGCUCAGCACGUGUUCCGUUCAGCCUGCCCAGCUCCACCCCAGCAGCACGUGGAGCGUUGGUGAGGAGCGGUUGGUGCUGGCCGGUGGGCUCACCGCCGCACAGCCGCCCUCGUUCACAGUGACACGGGAUUUCACAGCCCUCUCUGCAGUUUGUCCCUUUUAACUCAGCACGGCGCGCUGGGAUGGAAUUGGGAAGCGCUGAGCAGAGGAGAUGGGGGCUGUGCCAGGGGGGACCCCGCAGCCCUGAGCCCAGCACUGUGGGGCACCCGGCACAGCCCAGCCCUGCGUUUGGGGCCGGGGGGAUUAUUGCUGAAUGGGCAAUGAGUGCUGUGCUCCCUUUCCCUCCUGGCCACGCUACAGCCAGCUGCAGUCCCAGAACAGACAGAAAAGCCCCCAGAAUGCUGCUGGUCUGUGCCAGCAAGCCAGCUGGGGGGAGCCACAUAUGUUUGGUCCCAGCCCCACCAUGUACAUGCAUGCGUUGGCACUCAGCAAUUUCCCAAGGGCCACGGUGCCCAGGCUGCAGCAAGCUGCAUGCGCCGCAGCCAAGGCCUUCUGUGCCCUGCAGCUUCCAUUGCCAGGGCUGGGAGGGAGCAGGGGAAUUGAUGCAGCACCAUGGAGGCACACGGUGCUUCACAAACACCCACGAUGCCGCUCACCCCCUUCCCGGUCCCCACAGGACCCAGGGCAAGCCGGGGGUCUGCCGUGCCCAGCCCACAUCACACUCACAGCAUGAGGGAGGUGAGGUGAGAGUCACUAUUACAACAUCAGCAACAACUAGCCCUAGAGGUAAUGGUCACCUUACAUUAACAUACACAGCACUGGAGGCAGAGAGGACGGUGAGUGGAGUUAAGUAGGGUUAGUGGAUAGAGGACCAGUGUUGAAAUACAGAGGGUAACACAGACACAGCAGCUUUGCAUCUCCUCCGAGGGACCUGUUGCUGCGGGUUCAGUUUCCUGGCAGGCCGCUGGCACCUGCAGUCCGAGCAUCUGUCCUCAGGUCUCUGGGUCGCAUGGCUCUGCUUCAGUUCUCUGCUUUCUGCGCUCCCGUUGCAUUCGAGGUGAUCAGGUUCUCACCCUGAGCCUCUUCAUCUCCUGGAGCUCUGGGCUUCUGGUGAAAACUGCACCUGCACCUCCUGCUGAGUAUGAGGAGGAUGCCGACGGUGAACAGGACCACAGCAAACACCAGCCCACCAAUCCGCAGGCUUUGGUAAUCAUAGUUAAAGGGGUCUUCCUCCUUCUCUUGGGCACCCGCAUCCGCCGCAGCCGCCGACACCAGCAGGGAGCACAGGACGAUCAGCACCGCCUCCAUGGCUGAGCUCUCCGGGCCGGAGCGGGGCAGCGCAGGGCAGAGCCGGGUGGAGCGAGGCUGGGGCCGGCGCUCCCCGCUGCUCCGGGCGUGCUGAGCCGAGCCGGACCGGGCGGUGCCGAGCGGGAGCCGGGCGGGCAGCGAGCGCGGCGAGCAGGGAGCUGCACAAAGCGAGCGGGGCGGGCCGGGCGGGCGGUGCCUGCCGUCGGGAGGGGCGGCGGCGGGGGGAGCCCGGGGCGGGGGCUGCGAAGCACUCGGCCCCCACCCCUCCGG